AUUGAACGCUGGCGGCAGGCCUAACACAUGCAAGUCGAGCGGAUGAAGGGAGCUUGCUCCUGGAUUCAGCGGCGGACGGGUGAGUAAUGCCUAGGAAUCUGCCUGGUAGUGGGGGAUAACGUCCGGAAACGGGCGCUAAUACCGCAUACGUCCUGAGGGAGAAAGUGGGGGAUCUUCGGACCUCACGCUAUCAGAUGAGCCUAGGUCGGAUUAGCUAGUUGGUGGGGUAAAGGCCUACCAAGGCGACGAUCCGUAACUGGUCUGAGAGGAUGAUCAGUCACACUGGAACUGAGACACGGUCCAGACUCCUACGGGAGGCAGCAGUGGGGAAUAUUGGACAACGGGCGAAAGCCUGAUCCAGCCAUGCCGCGUGUGUGAAGAAGGUCUUCGGAUUGUAAAGCACUUUAAGUUGGGAGGAAGGGCAGUAAGUUAAUUCCUUGCUGUUUUGACGUUACCAACAGAAUAAGCACCGGCUAACUUCGUG
rnacentral:rRNA from 1 species